UCCCUGUUGCUAUGUUGGGCCUGCCUGCUGCCGCUGAGAGGCUGCUGACUGAGAUUACUCAGAGCAGCAUGCAUGGGAGCAGUCACCCUGAGGACCACAUGGCACAUGAACAUCUUCUACAAUCAAUUACAGAACAAUUAGAACUCACGCAGCCAAGGGCAAAAAAUACCUGCAGGAACACAGGAUUCUUAACAUGUGUGUGCCUGUGCGUUUGCAUACUGAAGACUGUCAUACACUGAAACAAAGAUGCCUUCUUCAAACCUCAUCUUCCUGUCCUUUAUCUCCACGCAAGAAUAACCUCUGAUCAGCAUUAUAAAGAUGGUCAUACACUCCCAUAGUACCACUCGGACACAUUAAAAUUAGAGAAAAUUAAACAUUUUUAAAUUUUCACCUCAAAUCUAAUCUAGUGUCCCCAGUGGCCACACAUUGACAUACCAUCUGAUUUUUGCACUAUGUACGGUAGAACUUCCACAAACAGCUAAUACUAUGAAACAUUAAAUACAGUAUGUAUUGAACAGACUCAUCUUUUUAUUGUGCACAUCUGAAACUGUGUGUUAAAGGGUAGAAAUGUAAACAGAAUAUACAAGAAAUUACAGUUUGUGGAAGAAAAGUUGUUUUAGUUAUUUUAACUCUAGCUUUACUUGUUGAUAAUGAGGAAUUCCUUUUCUUCUCAGAAACACAUUUUGUUUCACAUGUAUCAUCCCAAAAUAUCUUUUUAUCCAUAUAGAAAAAGGGAUAAAAGUGAGUCACAUUGAACCAGCUUGUUUUUUUGGCACUGACACGACUUUACUCUUCUCCUGUAUUGUACACUGCUGGUAUGUGGUGUGUGUGUUGUGCUGAGGUUAACAUAUGGGGUUAAUGAACUGUGUUGUACAGGACAUAUGUCUUCUCUUGCUUGGUAGAGAACAGUUCCUCCUUUUUUCCAGGUGGCUAUGUCUGCCAUAUAAUACCCCACUGUGUAUGAUAACACU